CCUACGGGUGGCUGCAGUGAGGAAUAUUGGUCAAUGGUCGCGAGACUGAACCAGCCAAGUAGCGUGCAGGAUGACUGCCCUACGGGUUGUAAACUUCUUUUAUAAAGGAAUAAAGUGCGGCACGUGUGCCGUUUUGUAUGUACUUUAUGAAUAAGGAUCGGCUAAAUCCGUGCCAGCAGCCGCGGUAAUACGGAGGAUCCGAGCGUUAUCCGGAUUUAUUGGGUUUAAAGGGAGCGUAGAUGGGUUGUUAAGUAAGUUGUGAAAGGUUGUGGCUCAACCGUAAAAUUGCAAUUGGUACUGGCUGUCUUGAGUACAGGUGAGGUAGGCGGAAUUCGUGGUGUAGCGGUGAAAUGCUUAGAUAGCACGAAGAACUCCGAUUGCGAAGGCAGCUUACUAAACUGCCACUGACAUUGAUGCUCGAAAGUGUGGGUAUCAAACAGGAUUAGAGACCCCUGUAGUC
rnacentral:rRNA from 1 species